GAUCAACGCUGGCGGCGUGCCUCAGACAUGCAAGUCGAACGAGAAAGUUCCCUUCGGGGAAUGAGUAAAGUGGCGCACGGGUGAGUAACACGUAGGUAAUCUACCUUCGGGUGGGGAAGUAACCCAGGGAAACUUGGGCUAACACCGCAUAAUGCAGCGGCACCACAUGGUGACAGUUGUUAAAGACGGGGGAGUUUUAGGUACCUCGCGCCUGAAGAGGAGCCUGCGGCGGAUUAGUCNGUUUGGUAAGGUAACGGACUUACCAAGGACGACGAUCCGUACGCCGGCCUGAGAGGGCGGUCGGCCACACUGACACUGACAUACGGG
rnacentral:rRNA from 1 species